rnacentral:rRNA from 1 species
AGAGUUUGAUCCUGGCUCAGGAUGAACGCUGGCGGCGUGCUUAACACAUGCAAGUCGAACGAACCUUCGGGUUAGUGGCGGACGGGUGAGUAACGCGUGAGAAUCUGCCCUCAGGAGGGGGAUAACGGCUGGAAACGGCCGCUAAUACCCCAUAUGCCGAGAGGUGAAAUGAAUUUCGCCUGAGGAUGAGCUCGCGUCUGAUUAGCUAGUUGGUGUGGUAAAGGCUCACCAAGGCAUCGAUCAGUAGCUGGUCUGAGAGGAUGAUCAGCCACACUGGGACUGAGACACGGCCCAGACUCCUACGGGAGGCAGCAGUGGGGAAUUUUCCGCAAUGGGCGCAAGCCUGACGGAGCAACGCCGCGUGAGGGAUGAAGGCCUCUGGGCUGUAAACCUCUUUUAUCAAGGAAGAAGAUCUGACGGUACUUGAUGAAUAAGCCACGGCUAAUUCCGUGCCAGCAGCCGCGGUAAUACGGGAGUGGCAAGCGUUAUCCGGAAUUAUUGGGCGUAAAGCGUCCGCAGGCGGUCUUGAAAGUCUGUUGUUAAAGCGUGGAGCUCAACUCCAUUUCAGCAAUGGAAACUAGAAGACUAGAGUGUGGUAGGGGCAGAGGGAAUUCCCGGUGUAGCGGUGAAAUGCGUAGAUAUCGGGAAGAACACCAGUGGCGAAGGCGCUCUGCUGGGCCAUAACUGACGCUCAUGGACGAAAGCCAGGGGAGCGAAAGGGAUUAGAUACCCCUGUAGUCCUGGCCGUAAACGAUGAACACUAGGUGUCGGGGGAAUCGACCCCCUCGGUGUCGUAGCCAACGCGUUAAGUGUUCCGCCUGGGGAGUACGCACGCAAGUGUGAAACUCAAAGGAAUUGACGGGGGCCCGCACAAGCGGUGGAGUAUGUGGUUUAAUUCGAUGCAACGCGAAGAACCUUACCAGGGUUUGACAUCCUGCGAAUCCCUUGGAAACUUGGGAGUGCCUUCGGGAGCGCAGUGACAGGUGGUGCAUGGCUGUCGUCAGCUCGUGUCGUGAGAUGUUGGGUUAAGUCCCGCAACGAGCGCAACCCACGUCUUUAGUUGCCAGCAUUAAGUUGGGCACUCUAGAGAGACUGCCGGUGAUAAACCGGAGGAAGGUGUGGAUGACGUCAAGUCAUCAUGCCCCUUACAUCCUGGGCUACACACGUACUACAAUGCUACGGACAAAGGGCAGCAAACUCGCGAGAGCUAGCAAAUCCCAUAAACCGUGGCUCAGUUCAGAUCGUAGGCUGCAACUCGCCUACGUGAAGGAGGAAUCGCUAGUAAUCGCAGGUCAGCAUACUGCGGUGAAUACGUUCCCGGGCCUUGUACACACCGCCCGUCACACCAUGGAAG